rnacentral:rRNA from 1 species
CCUACGGGUGGCAGCAGUGAGGAAUAUUGGUCAAUGGACGAGAGUCUGAACCAGCCAAAUAGCGUGAAGGAUGACUGCCCUAUGGGUUGUAAACUUCUUUUAUAUGGGAAUAAAAUGUUCCACGUGUGGGAUUUUGUAUGUACCAUAUGAAUAAGGAUCGGCUAACUCCGUGCCAGCAGCCGCGGUAAUACGGAGGAUCCGAGCGUUAUCCGGAUUUAUUGGGUUUAAAGGGAGCGUAGGUGGAUUGUUAAGUCAGUUGUGAAAGUUUGCGGCUCAACCGUAAAAUUGCAGUUGAAACUGGCAGUCUUGAGUACAGUAGAGGUGGGCGGAAUUCGUGGUGUAGCGGUGAAAUGCUUAGAUAUCACGAAGAACUCCGAUUGCGAAGGCAGUUCACUGGACUGCAACUGACACUGAGGCUCGAAAGUGUGGGUAUCAAACAGGAUUAGAUACCCUUGUAGUC